GAUGAACGCUAGCGGCAGGCUUAACACAUGCAAGUCGAGGGGCAGCAUGAGACGGAGAUUCGUCGAAGUCUUGAUGGCGACCGGCGCAAGGGUGCGUAACGCGUGAGCAACUUGCCCGUUUCUGGGGAAUAACCGGUGGAAACGCCGACUAAUACCCCAUAGUAUCAGGUUUAGGCAUCUUUAUCUGAUUAAAGAAUUUCGGAAACGGAUAGGCUCGCGUGACAUUAGCUGGAUGGCGGGGUAACGGCCCACCAUGGCUACGAUGUCUAGGGGUUCUGAGAGGAAGGUCCCCCACACUGGAACUGAGACACGGUCCAGACUCCUACGGGAGGCAGCAGUGAGGAAUAUUGGUCAAUGGUCUAACGACUGAACCAGCCAUGCCGCGUGAAGGUCACGGCCCUAUGGGUCUUAAACUUCUUUUGUAAGGGAGCAAUAAGCUUUACGUGUGGGAUGAUGAGAGUACCUUACGAAUAAGCAUCGGCUAACUCCGUGCCAGCAG
rnacentral:rRNA from 1 species